GACUGCAUUCGGCUUUGGUGGAUGCAGAAUGACCAAUCAAGUACAAAAGUUCGAGUUUGUAGAAAGUAUAACCAGCUGAAACAUCACUGCUGCCAUUAUUUCUCUGUUUCCCUUCCGGUAAGCAAGUGCAGACCAAGCACGCUCUGCUGUUGGUUCUGGGCAAUCUUCUCUUGGAAUCAAAGAUCUACAUUGGUGAGAGUGGACCACAAAUAUGUAUGUUUGAGUAGGACAAAUAUUUCAUGGUUACUG